rnacentral:rRNA from 1 species
CCUACGGGAGGCAGCAGUAGGGAAUAUUGCUCAAUGGGGGAAACCCUGAAGCAGCAACGCCGCGUGGAGGAUGAAGGUUUUCGGAUUUUAAACUCCUUUUGUUAGAGAAGAUAAUGACGGUAUCUAACGAAUAAGCACCGGCUAACUCCGUGCCAGCAGCCGCGGUAAUACGGAGGGUGCAAGCGUUACUCGGAAUCACUGGGCGUAAAGAGCGCGUAGGCGGGAUAGCAAGUCAGAUGUGAAAUCCUAUGGCUUAACCAUAGAACUGCAUUUGAAACUGUUAUUCUAGAGUAUGGGAGAGGUAGGUGGAAUUCUUGGUGUAGGGGUAAAAUCCGUAGAGAUCAAGAGGAAUACUCAUUGCGAAGGCGACCUGCUAGAACAUAACUGACGCUGAUGCGCGAAAGCGUGGGGAGCAAACAGGAUUAGAUACCCCGGUAGUC